rnacentral:rRNA from 1 species
UACGUAGGGGGCGAGCGUUGUCCGGAUUUAUUGGGCGUAAAGAGCUCGUAGGCGGCUUGGCAAGUCGGGUGUGAAACCUCCAGGCUCAACCUGGAGACGCCACUCGAUACUGCUAUGGCUAGAGUCCGGUAGGGGACCACGGAAUUCCUGGUGUAGCGGUGAAAUGCGCAGAUAUCAGGAGGAACACCGGUGGCGAAGGCGGUGGUCUGGGCCGGCACUGACGGUGAGGAGCGAAAGCGUGGGUAGCAAACAGG